UACGGAAGGCAGCAGUAGGGAAUAUUGGGCAAUGGGCGAGAGCCUGACCCAGCCAUGCCGCGUGCAGGAAGAAGGCUUUCUGAGUCGUAAACUGCUUUUGACAGGGAAGAAUAAGCUGGUCGUGACCAGUGAUGACGGUACCUGCAGAAUAAGCACCGGCUAACUCCGUGCCAGCAGCCGCGGUAAUACGGAGGGUGCGAGCGUUGUCCGGAUUUAUUGGGUUUUAAAGGGUGCGUAGGCGGCUUUUUUAAGUCUGGGGUGAAAGCCCGCUGCUCAACAGCGGAACUGCCCUGGAUACUGGAGAGCUUGAGUACAGACGAGGUUGGCGGAAUGGACAGAGUAGCGGUGAAAUGCAUAGAUACUGUCCAGAACCCCGAUUGCGAAGGGCAGCUGACUGGCUGUUACUGACGCUGAGGC
rnacentral:rRNA from 1 species